AUAAUGUUAAUACAUUUAUAAAUUUGAAUAGAAUUUAGAAUAUGAAAUUAUUAUCUUAUAUGGAUUAUUUUAGCUUGAGGGUAUUGUCUUUUAGGAUAGAUACUUGACUCUAUAGUGGUUCAAGAUAGAUAUUGGAAGGAGGUUAGGGAUAGGAAUUUUUUGUAUCAAGAGUUUUUAUCUUUAUUAUUUUUUAUUAUUUUUUU
rnacentral:lncRNA from 1 species